rnacentral:rRNA from 1 species
GAUGAACGCUGGCGGCGUGCCUAAUACUUGCAAGUCGAGCGAACAGAUGAGGAGCUUGCUCCUCUGACGUUAGCGGCGGACGGGUGAGUAACACGUGGAUAACCUACCUAUAAGACUGGGAUAACUACGGGAAACCGGAGCUAAUACCGGAUAAUAUAUUGAACCGCAUGGUUCAAUAGUGAAAGACGGUUUUGCUGUCACUUAUAGAUGGAUCCGCGCCGCAUUAGCUAGUUGGUAAGGUAACGGCUUACCAAGGCAACGAUGCGUAGCCGACCUGAGAGGGUGAUCGGCCACACUGGAACUGAGACACGGUCCAGACUCCUACGGGAGGCAGCAGUAGGGAAUCUUCCGCAAAGGGCGAAAGCCUGACGGAGCAACGCCGCGUGAGUGAUGAAGGUCUUCGGAUCGUAAAACUCUGUUAUUAGGGAAGAACAAAUGUGUAAGUAACUAUGCACGUCUUGACGGUACCUAAUCAGAAAGCCACGGCUAACUACGUG